GAGUCGUUAGCUCAGUUGGUAGAGCACCGGACUUUUAAUCCGGGUGUCGAGGGUUCAAGUCCCUCACGACUCACCA
rnacentral:tRNA from 1 species